AUCACUUCUCAGCCUUUUGGCUGAGAUCAAGUAUAGUAUACGUUCUUAUCAGUUUAAUGUCUAAUACUUUCUCUAUCCAAGGACAUUUAAAAAGAAACCAUCACUUGUCUGUCAGUUUCAUACUGUGGUGGCUUGUGUGUUGCUAUGAUCCUGGAAAAUAUGCCACCAGUAUUUCAAAUACCAGCAGGAUCACCCAUG